UACGUAGGGUGCAAGCGUUGUCCGGAAUCAUUGGGCGUAAAGAGCGUGUAGGUGGCUCGGUAAGUCCGCUGUGAAAGUCCAGGGCUCAACCCUGGAAUGCCGGUGGAAACUGUCGAGCUCGAGUCCGGAAGAGGCGAGUGGAAUUCCUGGUGUAGCGGUGAAAUGCGCAGAUAUCAGGAGGAACACCAAUGGCGAAGGCAGCUCGCUGGGACGGUACUGACACUGAGACGCGAAAGCGUGGGGAGCAAACAGG
rnacentral:rRNA from 1 species